UACGUAGGGCGCAAGCGUUGUCCGGAAUUAUUGGGCGUAAAGAGCUCGUAGGCGGCUUGUCACGUCGGAUGUGAAAGCCCGGGGCUUAACUCCGGGUCUGCAUUCGAUACGGGCUGGCUAGAGUGUGGUAGGGGAGAUCGGAAUUCCUGGUGUAGCGGUGAAAUGCGCAGAUAUCAGGAGGAACACCGGUGGCGAAGGCGGAUCUCUGGGCCAUUACUGACGCCGAGGAGCGAAAGCGUGGGGAGCGAACAGG
rnacentral:rRNA from 1 species